ensembl:snRNA U6 U6 spliceosomal RNA
GUGCUGGCUUCCACAGCAUAUAUAGUAAAAUUGGAACAUACACAGAUUAACAUGGCCCCUGUGCAAGGAUGACAUGCAAAUUCAUUAAGUACUCCAUAUUAUU